UACUCCUGCUUCAAGUUAAAAGUAUUUUACAAGAUUAUGUUUUAUAAAUAUUAAGGGAUUUUUUAAAAAUUAUUAGGUAGAAUUUUAAUUUUUAACAAAAACAUUAGAUUUUAAACAUUAUAAUUAUAUUAUGGACCAGGAUUAGAUACCCUGUUACUUAUAAUUAAUAAAUUUUGGAAUAGUAAUAUUAAUGAAAUUUAACGGAUUUGGCGGCAAGAUAGCCAUUUAGAGGAACCUGCCCUAUAAACGAUGAACCACGAUAAACUCUACUUUUUUUUGUAAUCAGUUUGUAUACCGCUGUUGUCAGUCAGUUUCUUUAGAAAACUUUCUUUCAUGAUAAGAUCAAGGACUUCAAGUAAAGGUGCAGCUUAUAAAAAAGUUAGAGGUGGGUUACAUUUACAAGAUUAAAAUGGAUUAAGUAUAUGAAAUAACUUAUGAAGGUGGAUUUAAUUGUAAAGUUUAUAAAAACUUGAUGUGAGCUCUAUCUUGUGUACACACCGCCCGU
rnacentral:rRNA from 1 species